AUUCCGGUUGAUCCUGCCGGAGGACAUUGCUAUUGGGAUUCGAUUUAGCCAUGCUAGUCGAGCGAGUUCAGACUCGCGGCGCAUAGCUCAGUAACACGUGGCCAAGCUACCCUUCAGUCAGCGAUACCCUCGGGAAACUGAGGUUAACAGCUGAUACAAAACGCCAGCUGGAAUGCGGCGUUUCAGAAAGAGAUCGCUGAAGGAUGCGGCUGCGG
rnacentral:rRNA from 1 species